GAGGAAUAUUGGUCAAUGGGCGAGAGCCUGAACCAGCCAAGUCGCGUGAAGGAUGAAGGUCUUAUGGAUUGUAAACUUCUUUUAUACAGGAAUAAAGUGAGUCACGUGUGACUUUUUGCAUGUACUGUAUGAAUAAGGAUCGGCUAACUCCGUGCCAGCAGCCGCGGUAAUACGGAGGAUCCGAGCGUUAUCCGGAUUUAUUGGGUUUAAAGGGUGCGCAGGCGGGAAGUUAAGUCGGCGGUGAAAUUUUGCAGCUCAACUGUAAAAGUGCCUUCGAAACUGGCUUUCUUGAGUAUGGAUGAAGUAGGCGGAAUUUGUGGUGUAGCGGUGAAAUGCUUAGAUAUCACGAGGAACUCCGAUUGCGCAGGCAGCUUACUAAACCAUAACUGACGCUCAUGCACGAAGGCGUGGGGAUCAAAC
rnacentral:rRNA from 1 species